CACCAACGUCACUCUGGCGUUUGACAGACAGGUGGUUUGUCCACUAACGUCGCUCUGGCGUUUGACAGACAGGUGGUUUGUCCACUAACGUCGCUCUGCUGUCAGCGGCUCGGCCCGAUGAGCUUGUGGUUCGCUACGUCUCCGCUACGGAGGACGACAUGUUCCGGGAGGCAACCGGAAGGUUGCUGGUUCGAUCCCCCUUGUUCAGGUGUCCCUGAGCCAGACACCUCACCCCGACUGCUCCUGACGAGCUGGCUGUCGCCAUAUGUGGUGGACACCGCCGUCCGUGAGUGAAUGAGUGCGGGAAUGGGUGAAAGUUUGGCAGUAUUGAUGUAGGGCGGUCUACGUGGCCGCUGUUUAGGAAGCGUUCUAUAAAAGCAGUCCUGCAUUCAUCCCGGAGCUCCAGCUGUAUGUCGGCCUUCACUCAGAGAACCACCGCUGCCAGCUAGCUCAGCCCUCGUUACUGACAAGACACCGCCGCGAGACAGGGUUCGACAGUGGAUACAGAAAACGGUAAAUAGGGAGCAGGUAGGGGUUAGCCAGUAUAGAGACAGGUCAUUAAGGAGCAGGUAGGGGUUAGCCAGUAUAGAGACAGGUCAUUAAGGAGCAGGUAGGGGUUAGACAGUACAGAGACAGGUCAUUAAGGAGCAGGUAGGGGUUAGACAGCAUAGAGACAGGUCAUUAAGGAGCAGGUAGGGGUUAGACAAUACAGAGACAGGUCAUAAAGGAGCAGGUUGGGGUUAGACAGUAGAGACAGGUCAUUAAGGAGAAGGUAGGGGUUAGACAGUAUAGAGACAGGUCAUUAAGGAGCAGGUUGGGGUUAGACAGUACAGAGACAGGUCAUUAAGGAGCAGGUAGGGGUUAGACAGUAGAGACAGGUCAUAAAGGAGCAGGUAGUGGUUAGACAGUGAGGUGGGCAGGAUGUCAACCAACCACUCUGGCACCUUGGUGUCAGAGAGUGAAAGUCAUAGCGAACAGGAAGCUCGUUCCACGGGCCACUUCAAACAGGAAGUGGGCUGCUUCCUGCUCCUCUCCCCAAGGCAUCGACGAUUUCCUGCCAAUCAGAGAGUGACGAGGGGGGCCUGGUGGGUUUUACGUGGCUUGGUUGGGUCUCAGCGGCCCUGGGAUGGGCUUUGAGGGGAUUCGCCA
ensembl:lncRNA